CUAGAUGCGUUUGUCAAAUUGACGUCUAUAAAGUUUUAUAAAAUGUAUUUUUUGCUAACCUUAACCAAAUGUUCCUAACCUGCUACGUUAAUUAUCCCAACCUGCCGCGUAAAUUCUAACCUGCUUCGAAAAGUAAAUUCUGGUCAGUUUUGACUGUAUCUACAUUGUCAAAACCAGGAAACAGUGACACACUGCUCAUGCGCUGUAGACCUUUUUAAAUCUUCACCCGAUUAGACGACAAUCACCCCAUUAAAAGGUGUGAUUGGUAAAAUGAUUUCCUUUUAAUGGGGUGAUUGUCUAAUCGGGUGGAAUCUUGGACCCUUUACCAGACCGUUGUGUGGCGGCCCAGGCAUAUUUUUGUUAUUUUGGUUGUAGUGAGCACAGUCAAACAGUUGUAGAGAACGCCAGCUACGGUGGUAAAAUGAAUUCAACUUUGAAUAUCAAGAUGAUGUCCUCGAAAGGGUCGUGUUGCAGUGUUUACGGGUGUUCGUUGAGACCUGCAACAAACUAAACAAUUCAAGUUUUUAGAUUUCCGAAAGAAAGUGGACCACUGCUAUGAAUAAAGAUGUUUGGCUACCAACAGUAAAUUCGAAGAAUUUCCGUGCACGCUUAAUUACAGGUAAACCAUCCAAGGAUGCCGUGCACCGACAUUUUGUUCCUUAACUCCCUGACAGAGAUGGGGACCACGGUAUGGAGAGGUACACCAGGGAAGUGAUGUCAUGGUGAAGUGCAAAGCAGCCUUGCUUGGUUGUACAGUGGCAAUGUUAUGGUGUUGGAGACCCCUUAAAUCUAAAACGUUGUUUUAGAGAAUUUUGCAGUAUGUCCAACCGGCCUCACAACCGCGUCGUGUGGGCGAGCAGUUUGCCGAUGUCAAUGUUGUGAACAGUGUCUUAUGGUGUCGGUGGGGUUAUGAUAUUGGCAUGCUACGGAUAAUGAACACAAUUGCAUUUUAUAGAUGGCAAUUUCAAUGCACAAAAAUACAGUGACGAGAUCCAUUGUGAGGCCCAAUUUUUUUUUUAAAUUUUUUUUAAUUUUUUUUUUAAAUAAAUGUAUCUGUUACCAACCGA